GGGAAGAAGGCCGGGAAGAUGGAUGAAAGAAAAGAUGGACGGUCAGGGAGAAGCAGGCGAAGGGCACAGUAGUGCAGAAGGCUGUGUGCCUAGCACUGUGCACCCCACUACACUCCGCACCGAACUAUACAGGGACAAGGCUGCUCAUCCGGCCCUAGCAAACCAGAGGCUGCCGGCUACUGACCUCAGACACGAGGGCGUCCAGGCACAUCAGGUAGACUUGAGACAUGAAGUCCAGCUCUGGAGUAACAGACAGACUAUGGCUCUGUCCCAUGUCUUCUUUCUAACUUCAUGACAUUGGCCAGAGCCUACAGAGAACUCCCUUUUAGAGAGUAGACAGAACUCAGACAUAACCAUAGCCUCACAGAUGGAGAAACCAAGCAGGCUCUGCAAGUGUUGACCGAGGGCGGCGGAGCGGCAGUUCCCAUGAGCAAAUAUUGACACAUUUCCUGAUCAUUAAAGCAGAAAGUCCGAC
rnacentral:lncRNA from 1 species